AUGCAGGGCAGAGGGUGACCAUAACUAAGUUAUGCCUUGGUGGGAGGAUCCAGAAAUGACAUAUGAUUUGGAGAUGAAUCAUGAUCUGAAUGGGGAUUGGAUGAGUUAUUUCACCACUAAUUUUUAGACAAAUUAUGAAUUAAUCAAGUUUUUUGUGGCAUCUUCAUAGCCCCGGUUGCUGAGAGGCUCCGAGUGGAGA
rnacentral:lncRNA from 1 species